rnacentral:ncRNA from 1 species
GCCUCCGAAAAAGUAACGGAGGCGCUCAAAGGUUCCCUCAGAAGGGUCGGAAAUCCUUCGAAGAGUGCAAAGGCAGAAGGGAGCCUGACUGCGACACCUACAAGUGGAGCAGGGACGAAAGUCGGACUUAGUGAUCCGGUGGUACCUCGUGGGAGGGCCAUCGCUCAAC